GACGAACGCUGGCGGCGUGCUUAACGCAUGCAAGUCGAACGGAAAGGCCCUGCUUUUGUGGGGUGCUCGAGUGGCGAACGGGUGAGUAACACGUGAGUAACCUGCCCUUGACUUUGGGAUAACUUCAGGAAACUGGGGCUAAUACCGGAUAGGAGCUCCUGCUGCAUGGUGGGGGUUGGAAAGUUUCGGCGGUUGGGGAUGGACUCGCGGCUUAUCAUCUUGUUGGUGGGGUAGUGGCUUACCAAGGCUUUGACGGGUAGCCGGCCUGAGAGGGUGACCGGCCACAUUGGGACUGAGGUACGGCCCAGACUCCUACGGGAGGCAGCAGUGGGGAAUAUUGCACAAUGGGCGGAAGCCUGAUGCAGCAACGCCGCGUGCGGGAUGACGGCCUUCGGGUUGUAAACCGCUUUCGCCUGUGACGAAGCGUGAGUGACGGUAAUGGGUAAAGAAGCACCGGCUAACUACGUG
rnacentral:rRNA from 1 species